CCUACGGGAGGCAGCAGUGGGGGAUAUUGCACAAUGGGGGAAACCCUGAUGCAGCGACGCCGCGUGUGGGAAGACGGUCUUCUGGAUUGUAAACCACUGUCCCCAGGGACGAAAAUGCCGGUACCUGGGGAGGAAGCUCCGGCUAACUACGUGCCAGCAGCCGCGGUAAUACGUAGGGAGCAAGCGUUGUCCGGAAUUACUGGGUGUAAAGGGAGCGUAGGCGGGGAUGCAAGUUGGGUGUCAAAACUACCGGCUCAACCGAUAGUCGCACUCAAAACUGCAGCUCUUGAGUGAAGUAGAGGCAGGCGGAAUUCCUGGUGUAGCGGUGAAAUGCGUAGAUAUUAGGAGGAACACCAGUGGCGAAGGCGGCCUGCUGGGCUUUUACUGACGCUGAGGCUCGAAAGUGUGGGGAGCAAACAGGAUUAGAUACACUUGUAGUC
rnacentral:rRNA from 1 species